GAAAAUUUUAAUUUUUUUAUUUUUCAAAAUUUGAAAUCUUAUCCCCAAACCCUUAUCCCCUAAACCCUAAUCCCUAAACCCUAAACUCUAAACCCUAAACUCUAAACCCUAAACCCUAAACCCUAAAUUCUAAAUUCUAAACCCUAAACCCUGAACCCUAAACCCUAAACCCUAAACCCUAAUCUCUAAACUCUAAACCAUAAACCCUAAAUCCUAAACCCUAAAUCCUAAAUCCUAAAUCCUAAACCCUAAAUCCUAAACCCUAAAUCCUAAACCCCACCCU
rnacentral:lncRNA from 1 species